rnacentral:rRNA from 1 species
UACGGGGGGAGCAAGCGUUGUUCGGAUUUACUGGCGUAAAGGGCGCGUAGGCGGCCAGCACAAGUCAGUUGUGAAAUCUCCGAGCUUAACUCGGAAAGGUCAACUGAUACUGUGCGGCUAGAGUGCGGAAGGGGCAACUGGAAUUCUUGGUGUAGCGGUGAAAUGCGUAGAUAUCAAGAGGAACACCUGCGGCGAAAGGCGGGUUGCUGGGCCGACACUGACGCUGAGGCGCGAAAGCCAGGGGAGCGAACGGG